AUUGAACGCUGGCGGCAGGCCUAACACAUGCAAGUCGAACGAGUGGCGGACGGGUGUGUAAUGUCUGGGAAACUGCCUGAUGGAGGGGGAUAACUUCUGGAAACGGUAGCUAAUCCCGCAUACCAUCAGAUGUGCGCAGAUGGGCUUAGCUUGUUGGUGGGGUAACGGCGGACCAGGGCGCCGAUCCCUAGCUGGUCUGAGAGGGUGACCCGCCACACUGGAACUGAGACACGGUCCAGACUCCUACGGGAGGCAGCAGUGGGGAAUAUUGCACAAUGGGCGCAAGCGUGAUGCAGCCAUGCCGCGUGUGUGAAGAAGGCCUUCGGGUUGUAAAGUUCUUUCAGCGGGGAGGCGUUACCCGCAGAAGAAGCACCGGCUAACUCCGUGCCAGCAGCCGCGGUAAUAC
rnacentral:rRNA from 1 species